GAUGAAGAACGCAGCGAAAUGCGAUAAGUAAUGUGAAUUGCAGAAUUCAGUGAAUCAUCGAAUCUUUGAACGCACAUUGCGCCCGCCAGCACUCUGGCGGGCAUGCCUGUUCGAGCGUCAUUUCAACCAUCAAGCCCCCAGGGGCUUGUGCUGGGGCCCUGCGGCUGCCCGCAGGCCCCUAAAAGCAGUGGCGGGCUCGCUAUCACACCGAGUGCAGUAGAUUACUCUUCGCUCAGGGCGUGUGGCGGGUUCCAGCCGUGAAACCCCCUACUUCUCAAGGUUGACCUCGGAUCAGGUAGGAAUACCCGCUGAACUUAAGCAUAUCAAUAAGCGGAGGA
rnacentral:misc_RNA from 1 species